rnacentral:lncRNA from 1 species
CAGGUGGACUCCAAUCAAGUUGUAGAAACAUCUCAAAGAUGAUCAAUGGAAACAGGAUGCACCUGAGCUCAAUUUCAAGUCUCAUAGCAAAGGGUCUGAAUACUUUUGUAAAUAAGGCUCAAAAUGGCCAGAAACAAAGACCUUCUGAAACUCGUCAGUCUAUUCUUGUUCUGAGAAAUGAAGGCUAUUCCAUGCGAGAAAUUGCCAAGAAACUGAAGAUCUCGUACAACGCUGUGUACUACUCCCUUCACAGAACAGCGCAAACUGGAUCUAACCAGAAUAGAAAGAGGAGUGGGAGGCCCCGGUGCACAACUGAGCAAGAGGACAAGUACAUUAGUGUCUAGUUUGAGAAACGGAUGCCUCACAAGUCCUCAACUGGCAGCUUCAUCAUUUAAUAGUACCCGC